GCGGAGAUGGAUCGACUGGGAGAUAUGGGACGGUCUAGGGAGAAUCGUACGGAAGGUGAUGAGGGAGCAGAUCCAUAGAGGUUGACCUUGGUGCGGGACGCCGAUCUUUGAAAGAAACCGGUGGUUCGGGAAGAGAAACCGGAGCUUGAGGAAGCGAAGGCAGAGGAAGAUGAGGAGGGAAUGGGCGAAGAGUUGAAUUUUCCAGAACGAGAGAAUGACCCUAGUACUGGUCCGCUCGAUCUUCUAGAGGAAGCCGCCAUUUUUUUUUUUGGUUGCAGUAGAGAGAAAGAAGGGGAAACCUUUAUUUUCAGAUACCGC
rnacentral:lncRNA from 1 species